rnacentral:rRNA from 1 species
UACGUAGGGUGCGAGCGUUAAUCGGAAUUACUGGGCGUAAAGCGUGCGCAGGCGGUGAUGUAAGACAGAUGUGAAAUCCCCGGGCUCAACCUGGGAACUGCAUUUGUGACUGCAUCGCUGGAGUGCGGCAGAGGGGGAUGGAAUUCCGCGUGUAGCAGUGAAAUGCGUAGAUAUGCGGAGGAACACCGAUGGCGAAGGCAGCCCCCUGGGCUAAGAUUGACGCUCAUGCACGAAAGCGUGGGGAGCAAACAGG